CCUACGGGAGGCAGCAGUGGGGAAUAUUGCACAAUGGGGGAAACCCUGAUGCAGCGACGCCGCGUGAGUGAAGAAGUAUUUCGGUACGUAAAGCUCUAUCAGCAGGGAAGAAAAUGACGGUACCUGACUAAGAAGCCCCGGCUAACUACGUGCCAGCAGCCGCGGUAAUACGUAGGGGGCAAGCGUUAUCCGGAUUUACUGGGUGUAAAGGGAGCGUAGACGGCAGCGCAAGUCUGGAGUGAAAUGCCAUGGCUUAACCAUGGAACUGCUUUGGAAACUGUGCAGCUAGAGUGCAGGAGAGGUAAGCGGAAUUCCUAGUGUAGCGGUGAAAUGCGUAGAUAUUAGGAGGAACACCAGUGGCGAAGGCGGCUUACUGGACUGUAACUGACGUUGAGGCUCGAAAGCGUGGGGAGCAAACAGGAUUAGAUACCCCGGUAGUC
rnacentral:rRNA from 1 species